rnacentral:rRNA from 1 species
CUUGAGCUUUAUAAGAGGUCCAGCCUGCCCAGUGACUCUGUUCAACGGCCGCGGUAUCCUAACCGUGCGAAGGUAGCGUAAUCACUUGUUCUUUAAAUGCGGACUAGUAUGAAUGGCACUACGAGGGUUAUACUGUCUCCUUUUUUUAAUCAGUGAAACUAAUUUUCCCGUGAAGAAGCGGGGAUAUAACUAUAAGACGAGAAGACCCUAUGGAGCUUUAAACAACCCAGCAAUUACUUCUAAAAUUAUAAAUUUCAGAAUAUCCACUUUUUAAGUUAUAUGUCUGCAAGUUUUUGGUUGGGGUGACCAUGGAGUAUAACAUAACCUCCAUGUUGAAUGAAUUCCCUUCUAAGCUAAAAAUUACCAAUUGAAGCAUCAACAUACUGACAUCUAUUGACCCAAUAUAUUUGAUCAACGAAC